ensembl:lncRNA
CUGCUUUUUAUUGCUUUCAAUUUCAGUUUUAUUACAGUUCAUGGGAGGGCACGUGUGUGUCUAUUCCAAAUAUCCUCUUUUAUUGAGAACUAAGGAAAUAUUAACUACAUCGCUCUUCUGUUUCAUGAGCAAAUCUAUUCCAUGAGGUGGGGGAUGGAUUUUUCUCUAGGUAUUUAUAGCUUUGCGGGUGAACUUUUCCAGAAUUCCAUUUGUCGACUCCUUUCUCACCCUCGGGAUUGGUCGGCUCUUCUCUGGCGGCUGCGACGGGAGGCCCUUUCCACAGCCUGGGAGGCCAGAAGAGCAGUCUGCGGCUGCGCGGAGGACGGGUGCGUGGAGCGGAAGGCGGGAGUGCACGGAGCAGAAAGCCGGGCCGCUGGAGGCUUUGCACCCAGCCCCUGGCCCGCAGGACUCCUCGGAGAACAGCAAAGCAGGGUGGUGCUGUGAAGCCCGGCCGCGGGGUUCAGAGAGCCAAGUGGCAAUCCGAGGGCCCCAAAUGAAUCAACACAGCAGAUGUACACUCAGUGAGACUGAUGCUUUCAUCUUUGGAACAAGACUGUCCAAUAAGGAAGGAGGACAUUAGCCACCUCUCAUUCUGUAUAACUGGCCGUGGAUCCUACUCGAAGGGGGAAGAAUUUAAAGUUUGUUUUGAUCAAAACUGCUACUUCCUUUAGUAGUGGGACUCCAGGAGGCCCUCGGAAUAGGAAAAAUUUAUAGGAAGUUUCUGCAACAGAAGAAAAAAGAGAAAAGAAAACGGGCAUUCUGG